UACGUAGGGUGCAAGCGUUGUCCGGAAUUAUUGGGCGUAAAGAGCUCGUAGGCGGUCUGUUGCGUCGGCUGUGAAAACCCGGGGCUCAACUCCGGGCCUGCAGCCGAUACGGGCAGACUAGAGUUCGGCAGGGGAGACUGGAAUUCCUGGUGUAGCGGUGAAAUGCGCAGAUAUCAGGAGGAACACCCGUGGCGAAAGCGGCUCUCUGGAACGGUACUGACGCUGAGACGCGAAAGCGUGGGGAGCGAACAGG
rnacentral:rRNA from 1 species